AGCGAACGCUGGCGGCAGGCUUAACACAUGCAAGUCGAGCGGGCGUAGCAAUACGUCAGCGGCAGACGGGUGAGUAACGCGUGGGAACGUACCUUUUGGUUCGGAACGACACAGGGAAACUUGUGCUAAUACCGGAUAAGCCCUUACGGGGAAAGAUUUAUCGCCGAAAGAUCGGCCCGCGUCUGAUUAGCUAGUUGGUGAGGUAACGGCUCACCAAGGCGACGAUCAGUAGCUGGUCUGAGAGGAUGAUCAGCCACAUUGGGACUGAGACACGGCCCAAACUCCUACGGGAGGCAGCAGUGGGGAAUAUUGGACAAUGGGGGCAACCCUGAUCCAGCCAUGCCGCGUGAGUGAUGAAGGCCCUAGGGUUGUAAAGCUCUUUUGUGCGGGAAGAUAAUGACGGUACCGCAAGAAUAAGCCCCGGCUAACUUCGUG
rnacentral:rRNA from 1 species